rnacentral:rRNA from 1 species
GACGAACGCUGGCGGCGUGCCUAAUACAUGCAAGUAGAACGCUGAAGGAGGAGCUUGCUUCUCUGGAUGAGUUGCGAACGGGUGAGUAACGCGUAGGUAACCUGCCUGGUAGCGGGGGAUAACUAUUGGAAACGAUAGCUAAUACCGCAUAAUAGUAGAUGUUGCAUGACAUUUGCUUAAAAGGUGCAAUUGCAUCACUACCAGAUGGACCUGCGUUGUAUUAGCUAGUUGGUGGGGUAACGGCUCACCAAGGCGACGAUACAUAGCCGACCUGAGAGGGUGAUCGGCCACACUGGGACUGAGACACGGCCCAGACUCCUACGGGAGGCAGCAGUAGGGAAUCUUCGGCAAUGGACGGAAGUCUGACCGAGCAACGCCGCGUGAGUGAAGAAGGUUGUCGGAUCGUAAAGCUCUGUUGUAAGAGAAGAACGAGUGUGAGAGUGGAAAGUUCGCACUGUGACGGUAUCUUACCAGAAAGGGACGGCUAACUACGUG